GUGGCGGACGGGUGAGUAACACGUGAGAAUUUACCCUUAGGAGGGGGAUAACCGUAGGAAACAACGGCUAAAACCCCAUAUACUUUUUAGGUUGUAUAACUUGAGUAGUAAAAUAGAUGUUUCUGCCUAAGAAAAAGCUCGCGGCUGAUUAGCUAGUUGGUUGGGUAAAGGCUUACCAAGGCGACGAUCAGUAUCUGGUUUGAGAGGACGAUCAGACACACUGGAACUGAGAUACGGUCCAGACUUCUACGGAAGGCAGCAGUGGGGAAUUUUCCGCAAUGGGCAAACGCCUGACGGAGCAAUACCGCGUGAGGGAUUAAGGCCUAUGGGGCGUAAACCUCUUUUUUCAGGGAAGAAUCAUUGACGUUACCUGAAGAAUAAGCAUCGGCUAACUUCGUGCCAGCAGCCGCGGUAAAACGAGGGAUGCAAGUGUUAUUCGGAAUUACUGGGCGUAAAGCGUCUGUAGGUAGUUUAUUAAGUCGAUUGUUAAAUCUAGAGGCUUAACUUCUAAAUCGCAAUCGAAACUAUUAAACUAGAGUGUAGUAGGGGUAAAAGGAAUUUCCAGUGGAGCGGUCAAAUGUGUAGAGAUUGGAAAGAACAUCAAUUGCGAAAGCAUUUUACUGGGCUAUUUACUGACACUAAGAGACGAAAGCUAGGGUAGCAAAAUGGAUUUGAUACCCAUGUAGUCCUAGCUGUAAACAAUGGAUACUAUAUAUUGAACAAAUCGACAUGUACAGUAUAAAAGCUAACGCG
rnacentral:rRNA from 1 species